rnacentral:rRNA from 2 species
UCCAAGUGAAGUAGAGGACAGUGGCGGACGGGUGAGUAACGCGUGAGGAACCUGCCUUUCAGAGGGGGACAACAGUUGGAAACGACUGCUAAUACCGCAUGACACAUUGGGGUCGCAUGGCCUUGAUGUCAAAGAUUUAUCGCUGGAAGAUGGCCUCGCGUCUGAUUAGCUAGAUGGUGGGGUAACGGCCCACCAUGGCGACGAUCAGUAGCCGACCUGAGAGGGUGACCGGCCACAUUGGGACUGAGACACGGCCCAGACUCC